rnacentral:rRNA from 1 species
AGUUUGAUCCUGGCUCAGGAUGAACGCUAGCUACAGGCUUAACACAUGCAAGUCGAGGGGCAGCAUUGGAGUAGCAAUACUUCAGAUGGCGACCGGCGCACGGGUGAGUAACACGUAUCCAACCUGCCGCUUACUCGGGGAUAGCCUUUCGAAAGAAAGAUUAAUACCCGAUGGUAUAAAGAGUUCGCAUGUUCUCUUUAUUAAAGAAUUUCGGUAAGCGAUGGGGAUGCGUUCCAUUAGAUCGUUGGCGGGGUAACGGCCCACCAAGUCUACGAUGGAUAGGGGUUCUGAGAGGAAGGUCCCCCACAUUGGAACUGAGACACGGUCCAAAUCCUACGGGAGGCAGCAGUGAGGAAUAUUGGUCAAUGGACGAGAGUCUGAACCAGCCAAGUAGCGUGAAAGGAUGACUGCCCUAUGGGUUGUAAACUUCUUUUAUAAGGGAAUAAAGUGAGGGACGUGUCCCUUUUUGUAUGUACCUUAUGAAUAAGGAUCGGCUAACUCCGUGCCAGCAGCCGCGGUAAUACGGAGGAUCCAAGCGUUAUCCGGAUUUAUUGGGUUUAAAGGGAGCGUAGGUUGACAUAUAAGUCAGCUGUGAAAGUUUACGGCUCAACCGUGAAAUUGCAGUUGAUACUGUAUGUCUUGAGUGUACAAGAGGUGGGCGGAAUUCGUGGUGUAGCGGUGAAAUGCUUAGAUAUCACGAAGAACUCCAAUUGCGAAGGCAGCUCACUGGGGUACAACUGACACUGAGGCUCGAAAGUGUGGGUAUCAAACAGGAUUAGAUACCCUGGUAGUCCACACAGUAAACGAUGAAUACUCGCUGUUUGCGAUAUACAGUAAGCGGCCAAGCGAAAGCAUUAAGUAUUCCACCUGGGGAGUACGCCGGCAACGGUGAAACUCAAAGGAAUUGACGGGGGCCCGCACAAGCGGAGGAACAUGUGGUUUAAUUCGAUGAUACGCGAGGAACCUUACCCGGGCUUGAAUUGCAGAGGAAUAUAGUUGAAAGAUUAUCGCCGCAAGGUCUCUGUGAAGGUGCUGCAUGGUUGUCGUCAGCUCGUGCCGUGAGGUGUCGGCUUAAGUGCCAUAACGAGCGCAACCCUUAUCAUUAGUUACUAACAGGUCAUGCUGAGGACUCUAGUGAGACUGCCGUCGUAAGAUGUGAGGAANGUGGA